GCAGUCGACGGAGCUACCUUUUCGGAAGUUUUCGGAUGGAAGAGGAAGUAGCUUAGUGGCGAACGGGUGAGUAACACGUGAGGAACCUGCCUUAAAGAGGGGGACAACAGUUGGAAACGACUGCUAAUACCGCAUAAGCCCACGGUGCCGCAUGGCACAGGGGGAAAAGGAGAAAUCCGCUUUAAGAUGGACUCGCGUCCAAUUAGCUAGAUGGUGAGGUAAAGGCUCACCAUGGCGACGAUUGGUAGCCGGACUGAGAGGUUGAACGGCCACAUUGGGACUGAGACACGGCCCAGACUCCUACGGGAGGCAGCAGUGGGGAAUAUUGCACAAUGGGGGAAACCCUGAUGCAGCGACGCCGCGUGGAGGAAGAAGGUUUUCGGAUUGUAAACUCCUGUCUUCGGGGACGAUAAUGACGGUACCCGAGGAGGAAGCCACGGCUAACUACGUGCCAGCAGCCGCGGUAAAACGUAGGUGGCAAGCGUCGUUCGGAAUUACUGGGUGUAAAGGGAGCGCAGGCGGGUCGGUAAGUUGGGAGUGAAAACUAUGGGCUCAACCCAUAAAUUGCUUU
rnacentral:rRNA from 1 species